CCUACGGGAGGCAGCAGUGAGGAAUAUUGGUCAAUGGGCGAGAGCCUGAACCAGCCAAGUCGCGUGAAGGAUGACGGCCCUACGGGUUGUAAACUUCUUUUGUCAGGGAGCAAUUGAGUCCACGUGUGGGCUUAGCGAGAGUACCUGAAGAAAAAGCAUCGGCUAACUCCGUGCCAGCAGCCGCGGUAAUACGGAGGAUGCGAGCGUUAUCCGGAUUUAUUGGGUUUAAAGGGUGCGCAGGCGGAAUGUCAAGUCAGCGGUAAAAUUUCGGGGCUCAACCCCGUCGUGCCGUUGAAACUGGCGUU
rnacentral:rRNA from 1 species